GAUGAACGCUAGCGGCAGGCCUAACACAUGCAAGUCGAGGGGUAACAUAGGAAAGCUUGCUUUUCUGAUGACGACCGGCGCACGGGUGCGUAACGCGUAUACAACCUACCUUUUAGCGGGGAAUAGCCCAGGGAAACUUGGAUUAAUGCCCCAUAGUAUAUAGACUUCUCCUGAAGUUUAUAUUAAACAUUUAUGGCUAUUAGAUGGGUAUGCGUCCUAUUAGUUAGUUGGUAAGGUAACGGCUUACCAAGGCAGCGAUAGGUAGGGGUCCUGAGAGGGAGAUCCCCACACUGGUACUGAGACACGGACCAGACUCCUACGGGAGGCAGCAGUGAGGAAUAUUGGUCAAUGGGCGAGAGCCUGAUCCAGCCAUGCCGCGUGCAGGAAGACUGCCCUAUGGGUUGUAAACUGCUUUUACAGAGGAAGAACCACCCCCACGUGUGGGGGUUUGACGGUACUCUGCGAAUAAGGAUCGGCUAACUCCGUG
rnacentral:rRNA from 1 species